rnacentral:rRNA from 1 species
AUUGAACGCUGGCGGCAGGCCUAACACAUGCAAGUCGAACGGUAACAGGAAGAAGCUUGCUUCUUUGCUGACGAGUGGCGGACGGGUGAGUAAUGUCUGGGAAACUGCCUGAUGGAGGGGGAUAACUACUGGAAACGGUAGCUAAUACCGCAUAACAUCGCAAGACCAAAGAGGGGGACCUUCGGGCCUCUUGCCAUCGGAUGUGCCCAGAUGGGAUUAGCUAGUAGGUGGGGUAACGGCUCACCUAGGCGACGAUCCCUAGCUGGUCUGAGAGGAUGACCAGCCACACUGGAACUGAGACACGGUCCAGACUCCUACGGGAGGCAGCAGUGGGGAAUAUUGCACAAUGGGCGCAAGCCUGAUGCAGCCAUGCCGCGUGUAUGAAGAAGGCCUUCGGGUUGUAAAGUACUUUCAGCGGGGAGGAAGGGAGUAAAGUUAAUACCUUUGCUCAUUGACGUUACCCGCAGAAGAAGCACCGGCUAACUCCGUG